rnacentral:miRNA from 1 species
UCGCUCUACAUCGUGUUACCCA